UGAGGCGGUCGCAACUGGCGAGGGUGGGGCACCACCGGGGAGCGGCCGGCAGUUCCCGUGAGGCGCCGCCCGCCUGGGCGCCGGGC
rnacentral:ncRNA from 2 species